rnacentral:tRNA from 1 species
AGAAGUAAAUGGUUUAAGUUGCGGCUGCUAACUGUGAUUUGAGUGGGUAGGUCCAUUCUUACUUUUG